CCUACGGGGGGCAGCAGUGAGGAAUAUUGGUCAAUGGACGAGAGUCUGAACCAGCCAAGUAGCGUGAAGGAUGACUGCCCUAUGGGUUGUAAACUUCUUUUAUAUGGGAAUAAAGUGUUCCACGUGUGGGAUUUUGUAUGUACCAUAUGAAUAAGGAUCGGCUAACUCCGUGCCAGCAGCCGCGGUAAUACGGAGGAUCCGAGCGUUAUCCGGAUUUAUUGGGUUUAAAGGGAGCGUAGGUGGAUUGUUAAGUCAGUUGUGAAAGUUUGCGGCUCAACCGUAAAAUUGCAGUUGAAACUGGCAGUCUUGAGUACAGUAGAGGUAGGCGGAAUUCGUGGUGUAGCGGUGAAAUGCUUAGAUAUCACGAAGAACUCCGAUUGCGAAGGCAGUUCACUGGACUGCAACUGACACUGAGGCUCGAAAGUGUGGGUAUCAAACAGGAUUAGAUACCCUAGUAGUC
rnacentral:rRNA from 1 species